GUGCUUACUUCGGUGGCACGUAUACAAAAAUUUGAAUGCUACGGAGAAGAUUAGCAUGGCCUAUGUGUAAGGAUGAAAUGUGAAUUCGUGAAGCAUUUCAUAUUAAA